UUUCCGUAGGUGAACCUGCGGAAGGAUCAUUACUGAUUUGUUGACACGAGCUGUUGCUGGUCCUCAAACAUGGGGGCAUGUGCACGCUCUGUUCACACAUCCACUCACACCUGUGCACCCUCCGUAGUUCUAUGGUCUGGGGGACACCCUGUCUUCCUCCUGUAGUUCUAUGUCUUUACAUGUACACCGUAGCAAAGUCUUAUGGAAUGUGCACCGCGUUUAACGCAAUACAAUACAACUUUCAGCAACGGAUCUCUUGGUUCUC
rnacentral:misc_RNA from 1 species